rnacentral:lncRNA from 1 species
AUUCCUGGGAGGUGUCUGGGAAGCACAUCGCAGUGUGCACCGCAGCAGGGCUUGAUCCACCACAUCACAUUCCGCGCUCGCUGCUGCCUGAACUCAUCAAAGUGGACCCAGUGAAAGCUGUGUUGAGGAGGACUAUUCUGGUGCUGAGGCUGGGUACAUUCAUGAGGCCAGGAACACGGGAUUGAAUUCCAAGCAGAGCACCAGGAUACCUGUAGCAGAAAUCCAGCAACACAAAAUGGACUAAGACACCCAGCAAGCCCCAGGAGCAUCAAGGAAGCAGGCAUGAGGUACCUGCUGGGCCCACCGUGCUCACUGCUUUCUCACUGCGUCUGGAGGUCCUGAGUUCACAACAAUGAGAAGUUUUGAGCUGGAUAAAACUGUUCAUUUAUGGAGCAUAUUGGAAAAGGAGGGAUCACACAUGUCUCAGAAACAAUGGGAUGCAUUUCCUGUUUGGUAGAGGGAGGCUUCUAAAAGGUUGAUUGGUUACAAAAUUGCCUCUCUAAAAGACUCCUUUCUAAAGGCAAAUAAGGAAACUGAAAAGCUUAAGAGAUGAAUUAAAGACGAAAAUAAAAAUAAUUAUAUGGUAACUGA